UGAAUGAAGGACUUCCGGGUCAGCAACAAGGAGUUACGUGACGCAGAUCCUGGUAGUGUUUUGUCAGGACAAACAGUGACAAGCGGUAGACGUGCACAGCAUAUGGACCAUUUCAACAAACCAGGAGUCUAAAGUGUCAUUUAGAUCACUUGCAACAGAAGACACAACGAGAAGAGUAUUUUUCCCUCUAACCACAGAAAAUAAGGUAUCUCAUUAAUCAUGGUUGGCAAUCA